CAUUGGUUGCUGCAGUCCACGUCACUCCCCCGUUGCCUGUCCCCAUUGGGCAAGGGGGCUUCCGCCCUUAUCUGCCCGCCCCCUAUAAAACCCCAUGCGUCCCUUUGUUCCAUCGCCAUCUUGUCCAUGCAGGCACUGGGAACAGACACUGCUCUCCACCGCAGCCACCACGCAGCAGUAAAAGUUCUCCAACCAACCGCAGGGCAAGGUGUAUCAUUCCUUCGCCCCUUCAUCUCCUCCCAGUGCCAGUUACAGAAUGUGGCAGCCCAUGCAGAGGCUCGGCGCCGGAGCCUCCAAACCAGCAGCAGCCCCGGACUCCUGGAUGAUACACAGAGCCUAGCCGGGCUACCCGAGCCGCCUGGGACCGGGGAGAAGAACGCAACGCCACAACUUACAUUCUUUAACAGAAGAAUAUUUUGGGUCAGUGUGAGUCUUCAGGAAGUGAGCCUGUGAACAUUGCGGUGGAAGAGAGAGCUUCACUUGACAAAGCAUGAGCUGUGGGAACAGUUCCCUUGAGCCAAAGGACCCUGAUGUCCAUCUGCUGUACCUUUCCAGAAAGGCUGCUCUGCAUAGGAGGAAGCUACCAAGGGAAAGCCUGUGAAAAUGGACCUGGGAUCCCUCUAUAUAUAGUUAUACUUAUCGAUGUAUUAUGCUGUUGUACUUACACAGUUAGAGGUAUAUGGAUAUUUAGAUAGAUAUACUGAUAUUUGCAUGCUUAGAUAUAGGCAGUACAGUUGUAGCAA